ensembl:lncRNA
CAAAAAGAAAAAAAAAACCCAAAAAUGACAAUGGUAUAAUUAUCUUACAAGAUGUGUUUCAGUAGCAAAAUAUACCAGACAACUUAUUGCUCUGUUUUUAUUUGUUUAGGUAGCCCUGCCUGAAACAUAUUUGAACUUUGUUUAGGUAGCCCCAUCUGGAAAAAAAUCAGACCUUGCUUGAAUCCUCUGGUACAGAUUGCUGGAUUGAUUGUUCCUUUGCUGAUGGCAGUUGUGACAUCAUUCAGCUCCAAAAUAUGGAAGAGAAAUAAAAGUGGGAAAUGAGGACUGCAAAACAAAAUCCAAAAGCAAUAAUUUAACAAUAUCACAGUACGUUUUCUUGAUACUGUAUAUAAAACAAAAUAUAUGUAAUAUAUCAUGCCUUUGUAAUCAUUAAAGACGUGUUAGUUAUGUAUUAUAGUUAUGAAAGCUGGUAUAGAUGUUUUAGGGAUGAAUCUUUUGAUCAUUGGUACUGUAGCAUGCUAAAGAUGAAAUGUUGCUUUACUCACAUGUCCAGAUGUCAAGUCAAGACUGAAAAGUGAGCUUUAAGAAAACAAAACCAUUUCUUUCCCAGUUAUUGCAGACAUGCUUAUGUAUUUUAAAAUAACGAAUUUAUUGAGUGGAUAUCUUGGUGUCAUUUGUGGCUUUUGUUCAUACUGAAUUAAAAGACAUUCUUUAUUAAGUGACAUUAAAAA